GCCUGGCUAGCUCAAUUGGUCAGAGCAUCCGACUUUUAUCGCUACUGCGAGACCAAUCGGAAGGUUGUGAGUUCGAGCCUCACGUCGGGCG